AUGAUAUGAAAGUAGGUGUUAAGUCUACAGCAUUGAGAUUUGCAGAUUCAACUGAGGAGGGAUUACUGGGUUUGGAAUUAUGUGCAUGAGUAGUCUUGCACUCAGUGGAUAUACCGCUGAAAUUGGUGGGCCAUAUUAUGCAUUUUUGUCGGCUGCAUCUAGACAAUUAGCUUGGCAGAUAUGGACAGCUGACCUUUCAUCCCGGGCUGAUUGCAAUAGAAAGUGCGUAUCAUCGUGAUUUGUGUUGAACAAAUGGUUUGGUGCCAUUAUUUUCAGCGGAAUCCCAUUUAGAAGACUUUCAUCGCAGGGGUGAAGAAUGUGUUUGCUCCCUAAAUCCGUCAUGGUGCCUUGCGGGCAAGUCGGAGAUUUACUUCACAUACGGGAUUGGUGGGUGCGGGCGUGCCACUACUAGAUGCCACUAGUAGACGGGAUUUAAAUGAUUGAGGUUGCGCCUU